rnacentral:lncRNA from 10 species
GCAGUGUGGGAGCAGCCCCUGCCCAAUGGGCUUUGGUGGCCUAGAGCCAUAAGAAGGUCCUCCCACCUCACCCUGCCACAAUAGUAACCUUUAGGAAAUUUAAGCUGCCCUGAACCCCAUGCCCCCAGCUUGUCACAUCCAAAAGGGUGUAAAUAUUCCCAACAUGGCCUAUUUCAACCUCCAAGAUGGCUUCAUUGACUGUGGAGUUGGGGAGACAUGUGCACAGUCAGCCCUCGUGAGCAGGUGUGAGCCACCUCCAGAACUCCACUGAUGUGAGUGAUAAAGAACAGAAAAGUAAAGGGGAAGAAACUGAAACUCAAUUUUGACGCCAGCAAUCAGGAUUUGCAGUACAGAUGAAGACUGUGGAACACUUAUUUUAAUGGGCUAGAAGACUUCCUGGCAUGUUUUGAGUAAAUUGUGCUACUGUCAUGCAGAACUGGAUUAAUGUCUGUCUUAUAAAUAAGACC